rnacentral:rRNA from 1 species
UACAGAGGUCUCAAGCGUUGUUCGGAUUCAUUGGGCGUAAAGGGUGCGUAGGUGGCGUGGUAAGUCGGGUGUGAAAUUUCGGAGCUUAACUCCGAAACUGCAUUCGAUACUGCCGUGCUUGAGGACUGGAGAGGAGACUGGAAUUUACGGUGUAGCAGUGAAAUGCGUAGAGAUCGUAAGGAACACCAGUGGCGAAGGCGGCUCUCUGGACAGUUCCUGACACUGAGGCACGAAGGCCAGGGGAGCAAACGGG